CCUACGGGGUGCAGCAGUGGGGAAUAUUGCGCAAUGGGCGAAAGCCUGACGCAGCGACGCCGCGUGAGGGAUGAAGGUCUUCGGAUCGUAAACCUCUGUCAGCAGGGAAGAACGGUCAGUGUGCUAAUCAGUAGUGAAUUGACGGUACCUGCAAAGGAAGCACCGGCUAACUCCGUGCCAGCAGCCGCGGUAAUACGGAGGGUGCGAGCGUUAAUCGGAAUUAGUGGGCGUAAAGCGCGCGUAGGCGGUAUGUCAAGUCAAGGGUGAAAUCCCCGGGCUCAACGUGGGAAGUGCCGUUGAAACUGGUAGACUGGAGUAUGUGAGAGGAAAGUGGAAUUCGAGGUGUAGGGGUGAAAUCCGUAGAUAUCAGGAGGAACAUCAAUGGCGAAGGCGACUAUCUAGCACAUAACUGACGCUGAGGCGCGAAAGCGUGGGUAGCAAACAGGAUUAGAUACCCGUGUAGUC
rnacentral:rRNA from 1 species